AACGUAGGUGGCAAGCGUUAUCCGGAUUUACUGGGCGUAAAGCAUGUGCAGACGGGUUGGUAAGUGGUGUAUGAAAGCGUUCGGCUUAACCGAGCAAGCGUAUGCCAGACUGCCAGUCUUGAGUUUGGGAGAGGGAUGGCGGAAUUCCAGGUGUAGCGGAUGAAAUGCGUAGAUAUCUGGAGGAACACCGGUGGCGAAGGCGGCAUCCUGGACCAAC
rnacentral:rRNA from 1 species